UGGAGGAGGGGAGCAGCGAGGAGUGGAGCGAAGCAAGCAUGCUCUGUGAUCUCUACUAAUUGAAGCUCGGACAGGACGGCUCCAAGCUAACUACUGUUGAGCUCAGGAGUACGGCAUGGGGAACAUCAAAUCAACCUGAAACAGGUAUCGCCUGCUACUACAUUCAGGUUGACUGUUUGUCUUUAUGGGUUCACUUUAAUUCAUCUUUUCUGAGGGCAAGGGAAUCACUGGCACAAAAAAAUGGGUAACAGAGAAGAUUAGAGAGACAUAAUACAAUAGAAAUUGAAAAGCAAGAUUCACAUUAGUGUGACAUGGCAUGUUUAGAACUUUGGCACGAACUAUUUGCGUUUUUGAAGCAAGAAGUGAAAUUACCAUGACUGUUCUUUUUUACACG
rnacentral:lncRNA from 1 species